GUUUCUGUAGCGCAAUGGAUAGCGCGUUUGACUUUUAAUCUGACGGUCAUGGGUUCGAAUCCCACCUGGGAUA
rnacentral:tRNA from 1 species